ensembl:snRNA U6 U6 spliceosomal RNA
GUGCUCUCUUCAGUAGCACAUAUACUAAAAUUAGAAUGAUACAGGAAAGAUUAGCAUGGUCCCCGUGCAAGGAGAAUAUGCAAACUCAUGAAACUUUUCCUAUUUUA